rnacentral:lncRNA from 1 species
GAGGGGGUGUUGAGUAAAUCAAGUGGUGGUCAUACUAUAUCUUUUCUCAAAAAAGAAUAUUUAGAGCCCUGAGAGUCAUGAUGGACUGAAACUAAACGAUGUAUCUCCAUUGGCUAUGGAUUUUGCGGCAAGAAUGCAAAGGGUUCUUUUGGAAUUCUAAGCUCUAAGUUAAACUUCUAACCUAGAAUAUAAUGGAGGCAAAAGAGCCACGUACAGUUGGUGUGACAUGAUCCAAGAUCUGCGCUAACUUCGAAUCUUGUCCUUGCUAGAUAUUACUCGUAAGACCAAGGACAAAACCAGGUCACCUUGCCCUUAAUUAUGUCUUGGUGAUCGGCAGCCCAUCUCCACGAAUAAUUUUCUGGUUCCCAUUUAAAAAAAUCUUCGAUCAUUGACGAACUUUGUGGUGGCUGAAUAAUGUGUGAAAUAUGUCCGAAUAAUUAGUUUACCAAGGAAAUGUUAUUAUAAGGUUGGCCAAUAUUCUAAUUAUUGAAU